rnacentral:piRNA from 3 species
UGAUUUCAAAUAUCCUGUCCCGUUGUCAGA